GACGUAGGGCGCGAGCGUUGUCCGGAUUUAUUGGGCGUAAAGAGCUCGUAGGCGGCUUGUUACGUCGACUGUGAAAACCCGCGGCUCAACCGUGUGGCUUGCAGUCGAUACGGGCAGGCUAGAGUUCGGUAGGGGAGACUGGAAUUCCUGGUGUAGCGGUGAAAUGCGCAGAUAUCGGGAGGAACACCUAUGGCGAAAGCAGCUCUCUGGGACGGUACUGACGCUGAGACGCGAAAGCGUGGGGAGCGAACAGG
rnacentral:rRNA from 1 species